GGGUGUAAACUGUUCAUGUAGGCCAAUUUUUCAUAUGUUUGCUAUCUUACUAGACAAUUUCAAACAUAUAAACCAAGUAACAUGUUAUAUUGAUGUUGGUGUUUGUUGAAUAUGUUUGUUCAAAUGACUGACCUAUGGUUGACAAUAAAAAACCUUCAAGAAAACCUUUAAAAAAGAGGGCAGGGGGGUAGUGACAUAAUUUAUUUUUUUGCACAAAAAAAUAGAAAUAGAGAGGCACUAACAUGAAAGAAUUUUGGUAUGGAUACCUCAAAUGAUUUUCUUUAAAUACAGAGAUAAACAAAAUGGGUUCAUUACUAGGUUCAUUAUAUUUAUGGAAAAUGUGGGUUUUAAUGUUAAAAAUUGGGGAUUUUGAGAAUCAAUUUAUUUUACAGGGUAUACUUUGAGUAAUUAAGUAAAAACUCUUUUGAAACAAGACUGAACAUAUAACUUGUUAAUUUUUUUUCUUCAAUUCAAUUUUAAGUAAAGGUUAGAGGACAAAAUACUACAUCUUUGUUGAAAAACCGUAAUUUUGGGAUGAAGUGUACUAUAGGCAGAUGCUAAUUUGUUACUGGUGUUCUUUCGUAUUC
rnacentral:lncRNA from 1 species